CGCCCGGCCGGAUCCCGUGGGGGGAAUCCGCACCGGGACAAGGAAAGCGCCCUGACUGCCGGC
rfam:Streptomyces sp. WAC00263 NODE_5468_length_3023_cov_6.104863, whole genome shotgun sequence.